rnacentral:lncRNA from 1 species
CAGAUCGCCUCUGAUCGGGGAGGAGGAGCAAGGAAGAAUGAAGGAGAUUGCAAAUGGUGGUCUCUGAUUCUUUGAUUAAAUUUGUCCAGUUUACUAGCGUUUUACUGUGGAUCAUUAUUCUUUUUGUUGGGGGAGGGGAUAGCAAUGUCACAGACAGAAGAAGUUGGUGCUUUAAUAAUUCAUGGUUUAUAGGUGUAAUUUUUUGUCUAGCUGGUGUAAGUGUAUGUGCUUGUGUCUCUGUUGUAUAGACAGUGAGUGAGUAAGUGGUGAACAUUGGGCCUUGAUGUUGCCCUGACGGUGAGAUGAUGGUGUUAGGAUCAGUGGUGUUUUUUAUGAUGAUCAUCAAAUAUGGCAAUGUGGCAAGCAUUCGCUGUCGAAAUUUGUACGAUGUUGUACGAGAUUGAAUGAAAACGACGAACAGUGGUUACAAGCUUACAGUUCUUUUGGUUAGCGUGGUCUAUAAUCAUGUGUUGUGUUGAUUGCAUUUCGUGAUCUUAUGUGUGAGAGAUCAUGGGAUCAACCUUUUGUUCACGUUGUACUUUGCUUCUACGCGAUAGCCCUCUGAGCAAUCAUAAUGCAUGCAUCUGCAGAUCUCAAGCCUGACUAUGAAACCUGAUUUUCUGAUUACUUGUUGUCAAUUGCAAGUAGUACUUGCUUGGCUUGCAGAUUUGCGCCGCUGUGUGCUUAUUAAACAACUUAUGGCAGAGUUAUUAUGACAAAAGGAAAGUGGUCUUCUUGAAGUGAAUUCUGCAUCAUUUCCAUUGAUUUUCUUUUUGACCCCGCGUUCCCAGUGAAUUCACUUUGCUCUGUUCGGCUCUUCCCCUAUUUGUUCUUGUCCUGAUCAACCGGUCAAGCUGUUUUGUGUCACUAUGGAGAUACUGUCACUAACCGUCAAACAUGGUGGAAGUCGUAUUCAGAAGACGAAGGCGUAAAGUGUUGGCGGGAGGUUUGAAUAGAUUGGCCAGCCAUGUGUGGGCCUAGGUGAGUGUAGCGGGCCGUGGGCCGAUUGUAACGAGGGCAGCGUAUAUAAGCUGGCCGUGUGAAACCGUGUAGGGUAUCGUUGAAAUGAAAUUUGAAUUCACUUCUCUCUCUCUUCGCCUCUCUCUCUCUAAGUUGCGUCCGCAUCUAUCUCUCCUGCUGAUCCCCUUCCUCUGCCCGAUCUCGCCGGCGGCGAACCCCAAAUCCGUCGGCCUCCUUCGGCCAAAGGCAAGGGUGUGACAAUCUGGUAUCAGAGCGACCGGUCCGUGGCUCGGUUCCGCUAAUCUCGAGAGCGUACCCAGCAAAUUCCGAGGCGACGGUCUCCGAUCAUCCUAGGUUUCGAUCAGUGUAAUCCCUGACCUGAGGUGGGUUGCUUCAGAGAGGAACGACACGACGACGUUCAAGGCGAGCGCCCAGACGAAGCACAUCACACGCGGAAUGGAGCUGUUUCAGGAGCGCAUGUUGAAGGAAUUUGCGGAGCUGCGAACGAAGCAGAGCAGAUUGGCCAAGGUGGCAGAGAUUUGCGACCGAUUGGAGGCGCUGGAUGCGAAAUUGGAGUAGUCGCAGCGCCUCGAUCAAGUGCAAGUCAAGGUAAAUCUCUCCUGCGACACACUGGGCAAGGUGCAGCAAGAGCAAGCGCAGUCGGCGAAACAGAGCACCGUUGCCGCAGCAGGCAGGGGAGGCGCAGCGCUCCACGCCAUCAAAUACCUGCCCCUCAAGUUGAAAGGCAACUCGGCACUGGUUGAAAAGCCUCCCCGAAAACUCGAUUGGAAGUUGGGAGGAACUUGAGGAUGCUUUCAGGGCAAAUUUUCAAGGGACCUAUGUCCGACCUCCGUAUGCAGACGAUUUAAGUCACAUAAUUCAACAACCCGGAGAGUCAGCCCAUAAGCUUUGGAACAGAUUUCUCACAAAGAAGAAUCAAAUCGUCGAUUGCCUUGAUGCCGAAGCCCUAGCAGCUUUCAAGCAUAGUGUCCGCGAUGAAUGGCUCGCCAGACACCUCGGCCAGGAAAAGCCAAGGACAAUGGCAACCCUAACAAGCCUUAUGACCCGCUUUUACGCGGGCGAGGACAGUUGGUUGGCCCGCAGCGGCACCAGUGACCCAGGCACAUCCGAAAUCAGGGACGGCAAUGGGAAGCCGCCACACAAUAAAAACAAGCAUCGAAGCAAUGAAGACAGCCCAGAAAACACGGUGGUCAACGCCAGAUUUAGGGGCUCUUGACCCGGUCAACAGAAAAAGCCAUUUAAAGGCAGUAGAGAUGGACCAUCGAGCCUAAACAAGAUUCUAGACAGAUUAUGUCAGAUUCAUGGCACCCCCGAAAAACCUGCAAACCACACCAACAGAGAAUGUUGGGUCUUCAAGCAGACUGGCAAACUAAACACCGAACACAAGGGGAGGUGAUACGUCUCGUCGUCUCUAUAAUUUUUGAUUGUUCCAUGCCAAUAUUCUUCAACUUUCAUACACUUUUGGCAACUUCUUAUAUUAUUUUUGGGACUAACAUAUUGAUCCAGUUCCCAGUGCCAGUUCCUGUCUGUUGCAUGUUUUAUGUUUUGCAGAAAACCAAUAUCAAACGGAAUCCAAACGGGAUAAAAACGGAUGGAGAAUUACUUUGGAAUAUUUGGGAUUUUCCGGAGGAAGAAUCAACGCGAAACGGUGUCCGGGGUGGCCAUGAGACAGGGGGCCGCGCCCCAGGGAGGCAGUCGCGCCCUGGGAUCUUGUGGGCCACCGUAAGGUGGUUGACGCCCUUCUUUUGCCGCAAGAAAGCUAAUUUUACGAGAAAAAUCUGGGCGAAAGAUUCACCCCAAUCGGAGUUAUGGAUCUCCAGAUAUAAAGGAAACGGUGAAGGGGAAGAAACAGAGAACGCAGAAACAAAGAGAUAGAUCCAAUCUCAGAGGGGCUCUCGCCCCUCCCAAGCCACGGGAGACAAGGACCAGAGGGGAAACCCUUCUCCCAUCUAGGGAGGAGGUCAAGGAAGAAGAAGAAGAAGAAGGGGGCCCUCUCCCCCUUGCUUCCGGUGGCGCCGGAGCGCUGCCGGGGGCCAUCAUCAUCACUGCGAUCUUCACCAACACCGCCGUCAUCUUCACCAACAUCUCCAUCACCUUCCCCCUUCUAUAUUCAGUGGUCCACUCUCCCGCAUCGCUCUGUACCCUCUACUUGAACAUGGUGCUUUAUGCUUCAUAUUAUUAUCCAAUGAUGUGUUGCCAUCCUAUGAUGUCUGAGUAGAUUUUCAUUGUCCUAUCGGUGAUUGAUGAAUUGCUAUGAUUGGUCUGAGUUGCAUGUUUUAUUAUUGGUGCUGUCCUAUGGUGCCCUCCGUGUCGCGCAAGCGUGAGGGAUCCCCGUUGUAGGGUUUGCAAUAUGCUUAUGAUUUGCUUAUGGUGGGUGGCGUGAGUGAACAGAAGCACAUACCCGAGUAAGUAGGUUGUUUGCGUAUGGGAUAAAGGGGACUUGAUACUUUAAUGCUAUGGUUGGGUUUUACCUUAAUGAAUCUUCAGUAGUUGCGGAUGCUUGCUAGAGUUCCAAUCAAAAGUGCAUAUGAUCCAAGUAGAGAAAGUAUGUUAGCUUAUGCCUCUCCCUCAAAUAGAAUUGCAAUAGUGAUUACCGGUCUAGUAACAUAGUUAAUUGCCUAGGGACAAUUCCACAACUCCUACCACCACUUUUCCACACUCGCUAUAUUUACUUUAUUACUUCUUUAUCUAAACAGCCCCUCCUUUUUAUUUACAUACUCUUUAUUAUCUUGCAAACCUACCCUAUCACACCUACAAAGUACUUCUAGUUUCAUACUUGUUCUAGGUAAAGCGAACGUCAAGCGUGCGUAGAGUUGUAUCGGUGGUUGAUAGAACUUGAGGGAAUAUUUAUUCUACCUUUAGCUCCUCGUUGGGUUCGACACUCUUACUUAUCGAAAACUGUUGCGAUCCCCUACACUUGUGGGUUAUCAAGACCUUUUUCUGGCGCCGUUGCCGGGGAGUCAUAGCGUGGGGUGAAUAUUCUCAUGUGUGCUUGUUUGCUUUAUCACUAAGUAAUUUUUAUUUGUUGUUCUUAGUUGUUCUCUAUCUUUAGUUAUGGAUAUGGAACACAAAAUACCAAAAAAAUAGGUGUACUUGCUACUCAUGGAGAUGGGGAACCUCCUAAAACCCUCGAUGCUCGUUAUGUUCAAGAUAUUAUGUACUACUUUGAUAAUCCUGAGAAAACCCAACUCAAUUAUGUUAUGGGAGUAACGUUGGAUCAACGCGAAUACUUUAGGGAUUAUCGCUUGACACAAAAAGGGAAACUAUUAUGGGAUCAAAUUCAACUGUUGAAGUGGUAUGCUAGGCAACUAUGCUUGAUGCAUGAUUAUACUUGCUAUUCUAGGAUGAAGUCUCCACACCUUCCCUUUUCAUGCAAAUUCAAUGAUAAUGAAACCUUAGCUUCUUAUGCUAAUGGUAUCUUUGAUUACUAUGAUGUGGAACAAAUAGAAGAAUUUGUUACUUUUAUGGGUGCUUAUGAGGUUGAAUCUAUGUUUAAAGCGUUUGAUGAUUUUGAUGAUUCAGUUUAUAGACCAGAAAAUCUUGCUAUACUUAGAUAUUGCUAUGAAAAUUAUGAAUACAAUUACUACAUUAAUGCAUUUAUUGAGAAAGUCUCCGCUGUCCAAGAAGAGAUUAAUAUUUUGCAGGAAGCUAUGGAAGAAGAAAUUGAUGAAACUAUGAGCUCAUUGGAUGAAAAAGAUGAUGAGGAGAGCGAAGAACAAAAGGAGGAAGAGCGGAUUAGCUACCCGUGCCCACCUUCUAAUGAGAGUAACCCUCCAACUCAUACAUUAUUUAAUUCCCCUUCGUGCUUACCGAAGGAUGAUUGCUAUGAUGAUUUCUAUGAUCCCUUGAAUUUGUUUGAAAUAUCCCUUUUUGAUGAUGCUUGCUAUGCUUGUGGCCAAGAUGCCAAUAUGAAUUAUGCUUAUGGAGAUGAACUUGCUAUAGUUCCUUAUGUUAAACACGAAAUUGUUGCUAUUGCACCCACGCAUGAUAGUCCUAUUAUCCUUUUGAAUUCUCCCUACUACACUUUAUCGGAGAAGUUUGUGCUUAUUAAGGAUUAUAUUGUUGGGUUGCCUUUUACCGUUGCACAUGAUGAUUUUAAUAGAUAUAAUAUGCAUGUGCUUGCUGCUCCUACUUGCAAUUAUUAUGAGAGAGGAACUAUUUCUCCACCUCUCUAUGUUUCCCAUACUAUGGAAUUGCAAGAAACUGCUUAUACUAUGCAUUGGCCUUUACUUGGUGUGCAUGAAUUGUUCUUUUAUGACAUGCCGAUGCAUAGGAAGAGAGUUAGACUUCGUUGUUGCUUGAUAUAUGUUACUUUGUGCUCACUAUUAAAUUACAAAUCAUUGUUAAUUAAAAUUGGCUUUGAUAUACCUUGGGAUCCAGGUGGAUCAAUUACUUGAGCACUAAAUGCCUAGCUUAAUGGUUUUAAAGAAAGCGCUGCCAGGGAGACAACCCGGAAGUUUUAGAGAGUCAUUUAUUUCUGUUGAGUGAUUUUAUAUAGUUUAAAAACAAAAAAAUAAAUAAAGAGGGGAACCCAAAAACUUUUCAAAAAGGAAAGUGAAAGUGAGAAAGACAAGCAUUGUUGAAGUGGGAGCUAGCCUUGAACUUUGUUCAUGCUCACGGAAACUUUGUGAAUCUUGAUUACAGAAAAUUUUCAUCAGAAAUAAUUAUCCCCUUGUAUAAUUCCAUUGUAUUAUAAAAAUAAUGUGCCAAGGUUUGCCUUUAGGAUGUUUAUAAUGCUUGUUGGUUUGUACGGUGUAGGACAGAAACUUUGGCUGUAGUGCGCGAUUUUACAUUUUUAACUAGAACGUCAAUUGGUUCUGAUUCUUUUUGCACUGUAUUCCUGUACAACUUGUUUAUUUUUCCUAAGUUUGGUAGAAGUUUUGGGGUACCAUAAGUAUGGUGGAUGUUCAGAUUGCUACAGACUAUUAUGUUUUUGACAGAUUCUGUUUUUGAUGCAUAGUUUGCUUGUUUUGAUGAAUCUAUCAAUUUAUAUUAGUGGAUUAAGCCAUGAAAAGUUAUAUUAUAGUAGACACAAUGCAAAAAUAAGAUAUGAAUUGGUUUACUAUAGUACUUAGAGUAGUGAUUUGCUUUAUUACACUAACGGAUCUUACCGAGUUUUCUGUUGAAGUUUUGUGUGGAUGAAGUGUCUAAUCGAGGAUGUCUCGAUAUGAGGAAAAUGAAGAUAGGCAAGAGCUCAAGCUUGGGGAUGACCGAGGCACCCCAAGUAAAUAUUCAAGGAGACUCAAGAAUCUAAGCUCGGGGAUGCCCCGGAAGGCAUCCGCUCUUUCUUCAACAAGUAUCGGUAUGUUUUCGUAUUCGUUUCGUUUAUGCAUUAUGUGCAAGUCUUGGAGCGUCUUUUGCAUUUAGUUUUCAUCUUUAUUUUAUGCACCAUGCUGGUAUGAUAUAGUCAUUGGUUGAUUUAUAGAAUGCUCAUUGCACUUCAGUUAAAUCUUUUGAGUAUGGAUUUAUAGAAUGCUUCAUGUGCUUCACUUAUAUCAUUUGAAGUUUGGAUUGCCCGUUUCUCUUCACAUAGAAAACCGCCAUUUGUAGAAUGCUCUUUUGCUUCACUUAUAUUUGUUAGAGCGUGGGCAUAUCUUUUGUAGAAAGAAUUAAACUCUCUUGCUUCACUUAUAUCUAUUUAGAGAGAUGACAGGAAUUGGUCAUUCACAUGGUUAGUCAUAAAAUCCUACAUAAACUUGUAGAUCGCUGAAUAUGAUAUGUUUGAUUCCUUGCAAUAAUUUUGCGAUAUAAAGAUGGUGAUAUUAGAGUCAUGCUAGUGGGUGGUUGUGGAUUGUAGAGAUGCUUGUGUUGAGGUUUGCAAGUCCCGUAGCAUGCACGUAUGGUAACCGUUGUGUGACAAAUUUGAAGCAUGGGGUGUUUCUUUGAUUGUCUUCCUUAUGAGUGGCAGUCGGGGACGAGCGAUGGUCUUCUCCUACCAAUAUAUCCCCCUAGGGGCAUGCGUAGUAGUACUUUGCUUCGAGGGCUAAUAAACUUUUGCAAUAAGUAUAUGAGUUCUUUAUGACUAAUGUGAGUCCAUGGAUUAUACACACUUUUACCUUUCCAUCAUUGCUAGCCUCUUCGGUACCGUGCAUUGCCCUUUCUCACCUCGAGAGUUGGUGCAAACUUCGCCGGUACAUCCAAACCACGUGAUACGAUACACUAUAUCACACAUAAGCCUCAUUAUAUCUUCCUUAAAACAGCCACCAUACCUACCUAUCAUGGCAUUUCCAUAGCCACUCCGAGAUAUAUUGCCAUGCAACUUUCAUCAUCAUCAUAUACAUGACUUGAGCAUUCAUUGUUGUUGGAAAUAUGCCCUAGAGGCCAUAAUAAAAGGGUUAUUAUUAUAUUUCCUUGUUCAUGAUAAUUGUCUUUUAUUCAUGCUAUAACUAUAUUAUCCGGAAAUCGUAAUACAUGUGUGAAUACAUAGACCAUAACAUGUCCCUAGUGAGCCUCUAGUUGACUAGCUCGUUGGUCAACAGAUAGUCAUGGUUUCCUGACUAUGGACAUUAGAUGUCAUUGACAACGGGAUCACAUCAUUAGGAGAAUGAUGUGAUGGACAAGACCCAAUCCUAAGCAUAGCACAAGAUCGUGUAGUUCGUUUUGCUAGAGCUUUUUCAAUGUCAAGUAUCUCUUCCUUAGACCAUGAGAUCGUGUAACUCCCGGAUACCGUAAGAGUGCUUUGGGUGUACCAAACGUCACAACGUAACUAGGUGACUAUAAAGGUGCACUACAGGUAUCUCCAAAAGUGUCUGUUGGGUUGACACGGAUCGAGACUGGGAUUUGUCACUCCGUAUGACGGAGAGGUAUCUCUGGGCCCACUCGGUAAUGCAUCAUCAUAAUGAGCUCAAAGUGACCAAGUGUCUGGUCACGGGAUCAUGCAUUACGGUACGAGUAAAGUGACUUGCUAGUAACGAGACUGAACGAGGUAUUGGGAUACCGAUGAUCGAGUCUCGGGCAUGUAACGUACCGAUUGACAAAGGGAAUUGUAUACGGGGUUGUUCGAAUCCUCGACGUCGUGGUUCAUCCGAUGAGAUCAUCGAGGAGCAUGUGGGAGACAACAUGGGUAUACAGAUCCCGCUGUUGGUUAUUGCCCGAGAGCCGUCUCGGUCAUGUCUACGUGUCUCCCGAACCCGUAGGGUCUACACACUUAAGGUUCGGUGACGCUAGGGUUGUAUGAAUAUGAGUAUGCAGUAUACCGAAUGUUGUUAGGAGUCCCGGAUGAGAUCCCGGACGUCAUGAGGAGUUCCGUAAUGGUCCGGAGGUAAAGAAUUAUAUAUAGGAAGUGGUAUUUCGGCCAUCGGGAAAGUUUCGGGGUCACCCGGUAUUGUGCUGGGACCACCGAAAGGGUCCCGGGGGUCCACCGGGUGGGGCCACCCAUCCCGGAGGGCCCCAAGGGCUGAAGUGGGGAGGGGAACCAGCCCAUAGUGGGCUGGUGUGCCCCCCUAGGCCCACCCCAUGCGCCUAGGGUUGAAACCCUAGGGUGGGGGGNNNNNNNNNNNNNNNNNNNNNNNNNNNNNNNNNNNNNNNNNNNNNNNNNNNNNNNNNNNNNNNNNNNNNNNNNNNNNNNNNNNNNNNNNNNNNNNNNNNNNNNNNNNNNNNNNNNNNNNNNNNNNNNNNNNNNNNNNNNNNNNNNNNNNNNNNNNNNNNNNNNNGAUUGGAUCUCCCAGGGCCGGCGCCCCCCCUGGGGGCCUAUAUAAAGGGAGGGGGGAGGGGGGCAGCCGCACCCUGAAGUCCUGGCGCCCCCUCCCCCUGCUACACCUCUUCCUCCUCCGUCACGUGCUUGGCGAAGCCCUGCCGGAGUGCUGCUGCUCCACCACCACCACGCCGUUGUGCUGCUGCUGGAGCCAUCAUCAUCAACCUCUCCUUUCCCCUUGCUGGAUCAAGAAGGAGGAGACGUCAUCCGCUUCGUACGUGUGUUGAACGCGGAGGUGCCGUCCGUUCGGCGCUAGGAUCUCUGGUGAUAGGAUCACGACGAGAACGACUACUUCAACCCCGUUCUUUUGAACGCUUCCACUCGCGAUCUACAAAGUGGUAUGUAGAUGCAUCUCCCUUGACUCGUUGCUUAGAUGAACUCAUAGAUGGAUCUUGGUGAAACCGUAGGAAUUUUUUUAAUUUUCUGCAACGUUCCCCAACAGUGGCAUCAUGAGCUAGGUCUAUGCGUAGUUCUCUAUUGCACAAGUAGAACACAAUUUUGUUGUGGGCGUAGAUCUUGUCAACUUGCUUGCCGCUACUAGUCUUAUCUUGCUUCAAUGGUAUUGUGGGAUGAAGCGGCCCGGACCAACCUUACACGUACGCUUACGUGAGACCGGUUCCACCGACUGACAUGCGCUAGUUGUAUAAGGUGGCUGGCGGGUGUCUGUCUCUCCCACUUUAGUUGAAGCGGAUUCGAUGAAAAGGGUCCUUAUGAAGGGUAAAUAGAAGUUGACAAAAUCACGUUGUGGUUAUUCGUAGGUAAGAAAACGUUCUUGCUAGAACCCAAUUGCAGCCACGUAAAAGAUGGAACAACAAUUAGAGGACGUCUAACUUGUUUUUGCAGCAAUUGUCAUGUGAUGUGAUAUGGCCAGAAGUUGUGAUGAAUGAUGAAUGAUAUAUUGUGAUGUAUGAGAUCAUGUUCUUGUAAUAGGAAUCACGACUUGCAUGUCAAUGAGUAUGACAACCGGCAGGAGCCAUAGGAGUUGUCUUUAUUUUUUGUAUGACCUGCGUGUCAUUGAAGAACGCCAUGUAAAUUACUUUACUUUGUUGCUAAACGCGUUAGCCAUAGAAGUAGAAGUAGUCGUUGGCGUGACAACUUCAUGAAGACACGAUGAUGGAGAUCAUGAUGAUGGAGAUCAUGGUGUCAUGCCGGUGACAAGAUGAUCAUGGAGCCCCGAAGAUGAAGAUCAAAGGAGCUAUAUGAUAUUGGCCAUAUCAUGUCACUACUUUAUAUAAUUGCAUGUGAUGUUUAUUAUGUUUUAUGCAUCUUGUUUACUUAGAAUGAUGGUAGUAAAUAAGAUGAUCCCUUAUAAUAAUUUCAAGAAAGUGUUCCCCCUAACUGUGCACCGUUGCUAAAGUUCGUCGUUUCGAAGCACCACGUGAUGAUCGGGUGUGAUAGAUCCUUACGUUCACAUACAAUGGGUGUAAGACAGAUUUACACAUGCAAAACACUUAGGGUUAACUUGACGAGCCUAGCAUGUACAGACAUGGCCUCAGAACACAAGAGACCGAAAGGUCGAACAUGAGUCGUAUGGAAGAUACGAUCAACAUGGAGAUGUUCACCGAUGAUGACUAGUCCGUCUCACGUGAUGAUCGGACACGGCCUAGUCGACUCGGAUCGUGUAACACUUAGAUGACUAGAGGGAUGUCUAAUCUGAGUGGGAGUUCAUUAUAAUAAUUUGAUAAGAUGAACUUAAUUAUCAUGAACUUAGUCUAAAACCUUUGCAAAUAUGUCUUGUAGAUCAAAUGGCCAACGCUCAUGUCAACAUGAACUUCAACGCGUUCCUAGAGAAAACCAAGCUGAAAGAUGAUGGCAACAACUAUACGGACUGGGUCCGGAACCUAAGGAUCAUCCUCAUAGCUGCCAGGAAACAAUAUGUCCUAGAAGGACCGCUAGGUGACGCUCCCGUCCCAGAGAACCAAGACAUUAUGAAUGCUUGGCAGUCUCGUGCUGAUGAUUACUCCCUCGUUCAGUGCGGCAUGCUUUACAGCUUAGAACCGGGGCUCCAAAAGCGUUUUGAGCAACACGGAGCAUAUGAGAUGUUCGAGGAGCUGAAACUAGUUUUCCAAGCUCAUGCCCGGGUCGAGAGAUAUGAAGUCUCCGACAAGUUCUAUAGUUGUAAGAUGGAGGAAAAUAGUUCUGUCAGUGAGCAUAUACUCAAAAUGUCUGGGUUGCACAACCGCCUGUCCCAGCUGGACAUUAACCUCCCGGAUGAGGCGGUCAUUGACAGAAUCCUUCAGUCGCUCCCACCAAGCUACAAGAGCUUUGUGAUGAACUACAAUAUGCAGGGGAUGGUGAAGACCAUUCCUGAAGUAUUUUCAAUGCUGAAGUCGGCAGAGGUUGAAAUCAAGAAAGAACAUCAAGUGUUUAUGGUCAAUAAGACCACUAAGUUCAAGAAGGGCAAGGGUAAGAAGAACUUCAAGAAGGACGACAAAGAUGUUGCCGCGCCCGGUAAGCCAGCUGCCGGGAAGAAGUCAAAGAAUGGACCCAAGCCUGAAACUGAGUGCUUUUAUUGCAAGGGGAAGGGUCACUGGAAGCGGAACUGCCCCAAAUACUUAGCGGAUAAGAAGGCCGGCAACACUAAAGGUAUAUUUGAUAUACAUGUAAUUGAUGUGUACCUUACCAGUACUCGUAGUAACUCCUGGGUAUUUGAUACCGGUGCCGUUGCUCACAUUUGUAACUCACAGCAGGAGCUGCGGAAUAAGCGGAGACUGGCGAAGGACGAGGUGACGAUGCGCGUCGGGAAUGGUUCCAAGGUCGAUGUGAUCGCCGUCGGCACGCUACCUCUACAUUUACCUACGGGAUUAGUUUUAAACCUCAAUAAUUGUUAUUUAGUGCCAAGUUUGAGCAUGAACAUUGUAUCUAGAUCUCGUUUAAUACGAGAUGGCUACUCAUUUAAAUCCGAGAAUAAUGGUUGUUCUAUUUAUAUGAGAGAUGUGUUUUAUGGUCAUGCCCCGAUGGUCAAUGGUUUAUUCUUAAUGAAUCUCGAACGUAAUGUUACACAUAUUCAUAGCGUGAAUACCAAAAGAUGUAAAGUUGAUAACGAUAGUCCCACAUACUUGUGGCACUGCCGCCUUGGUCACAUUGGUGUCAAGCGCAUGAAGAAGCUCCAUGAUGGACUUUUAGAGUCUCUUGAUUAUGAAUCAUUUGACACAUGCGAACCAUGCCUCAUGGGCAAAAUGACCAAGACCCCGUUCUCCGGAACAAUGGAGCGAGCAACCAACUUGUUGGAAAUCAUACAUACCGAUGCGUGCGGUCCAAUGAGUGUUGAGGCUCGCAGAGGAUAUCGUUAUGUUCUCACUCUCACCGAUGACUUGAGUAGAUAUGGGUAUGUCUACUUGAUGAAACACAAGUCUGAGACCUUUGAAAAGUUCAAGGAAUUUCAGAAUGAAGUAGAGAAUCAACGUGACCAAAAGAUAAAAUUCUUACGAUCUGAUCGUGGAGGAGAAUAUUUAAGUCACGAAUUUGGUACACACUUAAGAAAAUGUGGAAUCGUUUCACAACUCACGCCGCCUGGAACACCUCAACGUAACGGUGUGUCCGAACGUCGUAAUCGCACUCUAUUUGAUAUGGUGCGAUCUAUGAUGUCUCUUACCGAUUUACCGCUAUCAUUUUGGGGAUACGCUCUAGAGACAACUACAUUCACUUUAAAUAGGGCACCGUCUAAAUCCGUUGAGAUGACACCGUAUGAAUUAUGGUUUGGGAAGAAACCUAAGCUGUCGUUUCUAAAAGUUUGGGGAUGCGAUGCUUAUGUCAAGAAACUUCAACCUGAAAAGCUCGAACCCAAGUCGGAAAAAUGCGUCUUCAUAGGAUACCCUAAAGAAACCAUUGGGUAUACCUUCUACUUAAGAUCUGAGGGCAAGAUCUUUGUUGCCAAGAACGGAUCCUUUCUGGAAAAAGAGUUUCUCUCGAAAGAAGUAAGUGGGAGGAAAGUAGAACUCGAUGAAGUACUACCUCUUGAACGGGAUAGUAGUGCAGCUCAGGAAAAUGUUCCUGUGAUGCCUACACCAACUGAAGAGGAAAAUAAUGAUGAUGAUCAAGGUACUUCGGAUCAAGUUGCUACUGAACUUCGUAGGUCCACAAGGACACGUUCUGCACCAGAGUGGUACGGCAACCCUGUCCUGGAAAUCAUGUUGUUGGACAACGGUGAACCUUCGAACUAUGAAGAAGCAAUGGCGGGCCCAGAUUCCAACAAAUGGCUAGAAGCCAUGAAAUCCGAGAUAGAAUCCAUGUAUGAAAACAAAGUAUGGACUUUGACUGACUUGCCCGAUGAUCGGCGAGCGAUAGAAAACAAAUGGAUCUUUAAGAAGAAGACGGACGCGGAUGGUAAUGUCACCAUCUAUAAAGCUCGACUUGUCGCUAAGGGUUAUCGGCAAGUUCAAGGGAUUGACUACGAUGAGACUUUCUCUCCCGUAGCGAAGCUUAAGUCCGUCCGAAUCAUGUUAGCAAUUGCCGCAUACUAUGAUUAUGAGAUAUGGCAGAUGGACGUCAAAACGGCAUUCCUUAACGGGCAUCUUAAGGAAAAACUGUAUAUGAUGCAGCCGGAGGGUUUUGUCGAUCCUAAGAAUGCUAACAAAGUAUGCAAGCUCCAGCAAUCCAUUUAUGGGCUGGUGCAAGCAUCUCGGAGUUGGAACAUUCGCUUUGAUGAGAUGAUCAAAGCGUUUGGGUUUAUGCAGACUUAUGGAGAAGCCUGCGUUUACAAGAAAGUGAGUGGGAGCUCUGUAGCAUUUCUCAUAUUAUAUGUAGAUGACAUACUUUUGAUGGGAAAUGAUAUAGAACUUUUGGACAGCAUUAAGGCCUACUUGAAUAAGUGUUUUUCAAUGAAGGACCUUGGAGAAGCUGCUUAUAUAUUAGGCAUCAAGAUCUAUAGAGAUAGAUCGAGACGCCUCAUAGGUCUUUCACAAAGCACAUACCUUGAUAAGAUUUUGAAGAAGUUCAAAAUGGACCAGUCCAAGAAGGGGUUCUUGCCUGUAUUGCAAGGUGUGAGAUUGAGCUCGGCUCAAUGCCCGACCACGGCAAAAGAUAAAGAAGAGAUGAGUGUCAUCCCCUAUGCUUCAGCCAUAGGAUCUAUUAUGUAUGCCAUGCUGUGUACCAGACCUGAUGUAAACCUUGCCGUAAGUUUGGUAGGAAGGUACCAAAGUAAUCCCGGCAAGGAACACUGGACAGCGGUCAAGAAUAUCCUAAAGUACCUGAAAAGGAUGAAGGACAUGUUUCUCGUUUAUGGAGGUGACGAAGAGCUCGUCGUAAAGGGUUACGUCGACGCUAGCUUCGACACAGAUCUGGAUGACUCUAAGUCACAAACCGGAUACGUGUAUAUGUUGAAUGGUGGAGCAGUAAGCUGGUGCAGCUGCAAGCAGAGCGUCGUGGCGGGAUCUACAUGUGAAGCGGAGUACAUGGCAGCCUCGGAGGCAGCGCAUGAAGCAAUUUGGGUAAAGGAGUUCAUCACCGACCUAGGAGUCAUACCCAAUGCAUCGGGGCCGAUCAACCUCUUCUGUGACAACACUGGAGCUAUUGCCCUUGCCAAGGAGCCCAGGUUUCACAAGAAGACAAGGCACAUCAAGCAUCGUUUCAACUCCAUCCGUGAAAAUAUUCAAGAUGGAGAUAUAGAUAUUUGCAAAGUACACACGGAUCUGAAUGUCGCAGAUCCGUUGACUAAACCUCUCUCGCGAGCAAAAUAUGAUCAACACCAGAACUCUAUGGGUGUUCGAUUCAUCACAAUGUAACUAGAUUAUUGACUCUAGUGCAAGUGGGAGACUGUUGGAAAUAUGCCCUAGAGGCAAUAAUAAAAGGGUUAUUAUUAUAUUUCCUUGUUCAUGAUAAUUGUCUUUUAUUCAUGCUAUAACUGUAUUAUCCGGAAAUCGUAAUACACGUGUGAAUACAUAGACCAUAACAUGUCCCUAGUGAACCUCUAGUUGACUAGCUCGUUGGUCAACAGGUAGUCAUGGUUUCCUGACUAUGGACAUUAGAUGUCAUUGACAACGGGAUCACAUCAUUACGAGAAUGAUGUGAUGGACAAGACCCAAUCCUAAGCAUAGCACAAGAUUGUGUAGUUCGUUUUGCUAGAGCUUUUUCAAUGUCAAGUAUCUCUUCCUUAGACCAUGAGAUCGUGUAACUCCGGGAUACCGUAAGAGUGCUUUGGGUGUACCAAACGUCACAACAUAACUGGGUGACUAUAAAGGUGCACUACAGGUAUCUCCAAAAGUGUCUGUUGGGUUGACAUGGAUCGAGACUGGGAUUUGUCACUCAUAUGACGGAGAGGUAUCUCUGGGCCCACUCGGUAAUGCAUCAUCAUAAUGAGCUCAAAGUGACCAAGUGUCUGGUCACGGGAUCAUGCAUUAUGGUACGAGUAAAGUGACUUGCCGGUAACGAGACUGAACGAGGUAUUGGGAUACCGACGAUCGAGUCUCAGGCAUGUAACGUACCGAUUGACAAAGGGAAUUAUAUACGGGGUUGUUCGAAUCCUCGACAUCGUGGUUCAUCCAAUGAGAUCAUCGAGGAGCAUGUGGGAGCCAACAUGGGUAUCCAGAUCCCGCUGUUGGUUAUUGCCCGGGAGCCGUCUCGGUCAUGUCUACGUGUCUCCCGAACCCGUAGGGUCUACACACUUAAGGUUCGGUGAAGCUAGGGUUGUAUGAAUAUGAGUAUGCAGUAUACCGAAUGUUGUUAGGAGUCUCGGAUGAGAUCCCGGAUGUCACGAGGAGUUCCGGAAUGGUCCGGAGGUAAAGAAUUAUAUAUAGGAAGUGGUAUUUCGGCCAUCGGGAAAGUUUCGGGGUCACCCGGUAUUGUGCCGGGACCACCGAAAGGGUCCCAGGGGUCCACCGGGUGGGGCCACCCAUCCCAGAGGGCCCUAAGGGCUGAAGUGGGGAGGGGAACCAGCCCAUAGUGGGCUGGUGCGCCCGCCUAGGCCCACCCCCUGCGCCUAGGGUUGAAACCCUAGGGUGGGGGGGGGGNNNNNNNNNNNNNNNNNNNNNNNNNNNNNNNNNNNNNNNNNNNNNNNNNNNNNNNNNNNNNNNNNNNNNNNNNNNNNNNNNNNNNNNNNNNNNNNNNNNNNNNNNNNNNNNNNNNNNNNNNNNNNNNNUAUAUAAAGGGAGGGGGGAGGGGGGCAGCCGCACCCUAAAGUCCUGGCGCCCCCUGCCCCUGCUACACCUCUUCCUCCUCCGUCACGUGCUUGGCGAAGCCCUGCCGGAGUGCUGCUGCUCCACCACCACCACGCCGUUGUGCUGCUGCUGGAGCCAUCAUCAUCAACCUCUCCUUUCCCCUUGCUGGAUCAAGAAGGAGGAGACGUCAUCCGCUCCGUACGUGUGUUGAACGCGGAGGUGCCGUCCGUUCGGCGCUAGGAUCUCCGGUGAUAGGAUCACGACGAGAACGACUACUUCAACCCCGUUCUUUUGAAUGCUUCCACUCGCGAUCUACAAAGUGGUAUGUAGAUGCAUCUCCCUUGACUCGUUGCUUAGAUGAACUCAUAGAUGGAUCUUGGUGAAACCAUAGGAAAAAUUUUAAUUUUCUGCAACGUUCCCCAACAAUUGUCAUAUUGCUUUGAAUGAUUGUAAGAUAGCUAGCAUGAUGUUUUCAUGGCUUGUCCAUUUUUUGAUGUCAUUGCUAUGCUAGAUCAUUGCACAUCCUGGUACACCGCCGGAAGCAUUCAUAUAGAGUCAUAUCUUUGUUCUAGUAUCGAGUUGUAAUAUCGAGUUGUAAGUAAAUAAAAGUGUGAUGAUCAUCAUUAUAGAGCAUUGCCCCAUAAAAAAAGAAAAAAAAAAGAAAA